CCUACGGGUGGCAGCAGUGGGGAAUAUUGCACAAUGGGGGAAACCCUGAUGCAGCGACGCCGCGUGAGUGAAGAAGUAAUUCGUUACGUAAAGCUCUAUCAGCAGGGAAGAAACACUGACCUUACGGUCAGCAGACGGUACCUGAGUAAGACUCCCCGGCUAACUACUUGCCAGCAGCCGCGGGAAUACGUAGGUGGCAAGCGUUAUCCGGAUUUACUGGGUGUAUAGGGAGCGUAGACGGUGCGCCAAGUCUGGAGUGAAAUGCCGCAGCUUAACUGCAGAACUGCUUUGGAAACUGGCGAACUAGAGGGCGGGAGGGGUAAGUGGAAUGCCUAGUGUAGCGGUGAAAUGCGUAGAUAUUAGGAGGAACACCGGUGGCGAAGGCGGCUUACUGGACCGUAACUGACGUUGAGGCUCGAAAGCGUGGGGAGCAAACAGGAUUAGAUACCCGUGUAGUC
rnacentral:rRNA from 1 species